rnacentral:rRNA from 1 species
AACGAACGCUGGCGGCAGGCCUAAUACAUGCAAGUCGAACGCCCCUUCGGGGGAGUGGCGCACGGGUGAGUAACACGUGGGAAUGUGCCCUUGGGUACGGAACAACACCGGGAAACUGGUGCUAAUACCGUAUAAUGUCUUCGGACCAAAGAUUUAUCGCCCAGGGAUCAGCCCGCGUAGGAUUAGCUAGUUGGUGAGGUGAUGGCUCACCAAGGCUACGAUCCUUAGCUGGUCUUAGAGGAUGAUCAGCCACACUGGAACUGAGACACGGUCCAGACUCCUACGGGAGGCAGCAGUAAGGAAUAUUGGACAAUGGGGGAAACCCUGAUCCAGCCAUGCCGCGUGAAUGAAGAAGGCCUUAGGGUUGUAAAGUUCUUUUAGUGGUGACGAUAAUGACGGUAGCCACAGAAAAAGCUCCGGCUAACUCCGUGCCAGCAGCCGCAGUAA